AAUAUUGGGCAAUGGGGGAAACCCUGACCCAGCAACGCCGCGUGAGGGAAGAGGGUCUUCGGAUCGUAAACCUCUGUCCUUGGGGACGAAAAAAAUGACGGUACCCGAGGAGGAAGCCCCGGCUAACUACGUGCCAGCAGCCGCGGGAAUACGUAGGGGGCAAGCGUUGUCCGGAAUGAUUGGGCGUAAAGGGCGCGUAGGCGGCCUGUGUAGUCUGGAGUGAAAGUCCUGGUUUCAAGGAGGAAAUUACUUUGGAAACUGGCGGGCUAGAGUACAGGAGAUGUGAGCAGAAUUCCCGGUGUAGCGGUGAAAUGCGUAGAGAUCGGGGGGAACACCAGGGGCGAAGGCGGCUAACUGGACUGUAACUGACGCUGAGGCGCGAAAGUGUGGGGAGCAAACAGG
rnacentral:rRNA from 1 species